rnacentral:rRNA from 1 species
UUAAGCGACUAAGCGUACACGGUGGAUGCCCUGGCAGUCAGAGGCGAUGAAGGACGUGCUAAUCUGCGAUAAGCGUCGGUAAGGUGAUAUGAACCGUUAUAACCGGCGAUUUCCGAAUGGGGAAACCCAGUGUGAUUCGUCACACUAUCAUUAACUGAAUCCAUAGGUUAAUGAGGCGAACCGGGGGAACUGAAACAUCUAAGUACCCCGAGGAAAAGAAAUCAACCGAGAUUCCCCCAGUAGCGGCGAGCGAACGGGGAGCAGCCCAGAGCCUGAAUCAGUGUGUGUGUUAGUGGAAGCGUCUGGAAAGGCGCGCGAUACAGGGUGACAGCCCCGUACACAAAAAUGCACAUACUGUGAGCUCGAUGAGUAGGGCGGGACACGUGGUAUCCUGUCUGAAUAUGGGGGGACCAUCCUCCAAGGCUAAAUACUCCUGACUGACCGAUAGUGAACCAGUACCGUGAGGGAAAGGCGAAAAGAACCCCGGCGAGGGGAGUGAAAAAGAACCUGAAACCGUGUACGUACAAGCAGUGGGAGCACAGAGCAAUCUGUGUGACUGCGUACCUUUUGUAUAAUGGGUCAGCGACUUAUAUUCUGUAGCAAGGUUAACCGAAUAGGGGAGCCGAAGGGAAACCGAGUCUUAACUGGGCGUUAAGUUGCAGGGUAUAGACCCGAAACCCGGUGAUCUAGCCAUGGGCAGGUUGAAGGUUGGGUAACACUAACUGGAGGACCGAACCGACUAAUGUUGAAAAAUUAGCGGAUGACUUGUGGCUGGGGGUGAAAGGCCAAUCAAACCGGGAGAUAGCUGGUUCUCCCCGAAAGCUAUUUAGGUAGCGCCUCGUGAAUUCAUCUCCGGGGGUAGAGCACUGUUUCGGCAAGGGGGUCAUCCCGACUUACCAACCCGAUGCAAACUGCGAAUACCGGAGAAUGUUAUCACGGGAGACACACGGCGGGUGCUAACGUCCGUCGUGAAGAGGGAAACAACCCAGACCGCCAGCUAAGGUCCCAAAGUCAUGGUUAAGUGGGAAACGAUGUGGGAAGGCCCAGACAGCCAGGAUGUUGGCUUAGAAGCAGCCAUCAUUUAAAGAAAGCGUAAUAGCUCACUGGUCGAGUCGGCCUGCGCGGAAGAUGUAACGGGGCUAAACCAUGCACCGAAGCUGCGGCAGCGACGCUGAUGCGUUGUUGGGUAGGGGAGCGUUCUGUAAGCCUGUGAAGGUGUGCUGUGAGGCAUGCUGGAGGUAUCAGAAGUGCGAAUGCUGACAUAAGUAACGAUAAAGCGGGUGAAAAGCCCGCUCGCCGGAAGACCAAGGGUUCCUGUCCAACGUUAAUCGGGGCAGGGUGAGUCGACCCCUAAGGCGAGGCCGAAAGGCGUAGUCGAUGGGAAACAGGUUAAUAUUCCUGUACUUGGUGUUACUGCGAAGGGGGGACGGAGAAGGCUAUGUUGGCCGGGCGACGGUUGUCCCGGUUUAAGCGUGUAGGCUGGUUUUCCAGGCAAAUCCGGAAAAUCAAGGCUGAGGCGUGAUGACGAGGCACUACGGUGCUGAAGCAACAAAUGCCCUGCUUCCAGGAAAAGCCUCUAAGCAUCAGGUAACAUCAAAUCGUACCCCAAACCGACACAGGUGGUCAGGUAGAGAAUACCAAGGCGCUUGAGAGAAUCGGGUGAAGGAACUAGGCAAAAUGGUGCCGUAACUUCGGGAGAAGGCACGCUGAUAUGUAGGUGAAGUCCCUCGCGGGAUGGAGCUGAAAUCAGUCGAAGAUACCAGCUGGCUGCAACUGUUUAUUAAAAACACAGCACUGUGCAAACACGAAAGUGGACGUAUACGGUGUGACGCCUGCCCGGUGCCGGAAGGUUAAUUGAUGGGGCAGCGCAAGCGAAGCUCUUGAUCGAAGCCCCGGUAAACGGCGGCCGUAACUAUAACGGUCCUAAGGUAGCGAAAUUCCUUGUCGGGUAAGUUCCGACCUGCACGAAUGGCGUAAUGAUGGCCAGGCUGUCUCCACCCGAGACUCAGUGAAAUUGA